AUGGGGUGCCCACGGUCGACAUCACAGGAUCCAUGGACUCUGGACAAAACAAAAGCAGUCAUUACACAUCAACCACCUAGAGCUUUUAGCUAUUAUCAAAGCUUUCCAUGCCUUCCUACCCAUCAUUGCAGGACGUGCAGUCCAACUUGCUACAGACAAUACAACAGCUCUUUAUUAUGUCAACAAGCAGGGCAAUACAUAUUCCCUUUCCUUACUGUACCUAGCUGUCAAGCUCUGGGAAUGGUGCUACCUUCACCACAUCUUCCCAGUAGCAGUCCAUAUUGCUACAAACAAUCUGCUUUCAGACCAUCUCAGUCAUCUAAUCAUGAGGACACGCGAGUGGUCGUUAGACGACAAAGUCUUCACCCUUCUUUGUCAUUGAUGGGGGACUCCUUCCACCAAUGUUUUUGCUGCCAAGAACAAUACCAAGUGCCAACUAUAUUGUUCCGGUGCCGGUAUCAGCAGAGGCUGUCUCGGAGACGCCUUCAUGAUAAAAUGGGACAGCAGACUCUUCUACCGAUUCCUGCCAAUCCUUCUGAUACAAUGCACCAUCAUUUGGCUCCGACAGUUUCAAUUGGAUGUGAUCCUUCUUGCCCCAUGGUGGCCACAUCAACUGUGGUUCACCCACCUGAGGUCGAUGUUAAUCGACAUCCUCCAUCUUCUGUUGAUCCCCAACCUGAUGUUAAUCAACAUCCUCCAUCUUCUGUUGAUCCCCAACCUCCUUAUGCAGGACAACGGGCUCCUUUACCAUCCCAAUCUCGAAUCUCUGAAACUGAUGGUGUGGAGGAUACUCCCGAAAUAAGGGAUGUACUUGACAGAGCUCGGAAACCAUUGACACAGAUCCUUUAUCGAAAUAAAUGGAAAGCAUUUCUCUCCUUCGUCAACUCUAAGAAUUUACCUGCAGUACCAGUUUCACUAAAUACUUUGCCUACCUUCAUACUCCAUCUUUUUUGUCUUGGAUUGUCCCAUUCUACAAAGGUUUAUAUUGCUGCUAUUUUAACACACCAACCUUCUCAUUCAGAUGGAGCUAGACUUUUCUCCCAUCUGACUUUGAAAAAUUUUCUUAAAGGACUUCGUAAUAUCCUCCCUCCACAUCAACCACCUCUUCCCCAAUGGUCAUUGCAACUUGUCCUCAAUGCACUGACCUGA
rnacentral:lncRNA from 1 species